rnacentral:tRNA from 1 species
UGAUAAUUAGUUUAAUAUAAAAUAAGUGAUUUCGACUCAUUAGAUUAUGAUUACAUUUCAUAAUUAUCAU